AGAGUUUGAUCCUGGCUCAGAACGAACACUGGCGGCGUGGAUUAGGCAUGCAAGUCGAACGAGAAAGUUUCCUUCGGGAGACGAGUACAGUGGCGAACGGGUGAGUAACGCGUGGGAAAUCUGCCCUUUAAUGGGGGAUAACAGUUCUAACGAGCUGCUAAUACCGCAUAAGAUUCCUGGAGCGCAUGUUCCGGGAAUGAAAGAUGGCCUCUACAUGUAAGCUGUCGUUGAAGGAUGAUCCCGCGUCCCAUUAGCUAGUUGGUGGGGUAAAAGCCUACCAAGGCGACGAUGGUAGCCGGCCUGAGAGGGUGUCCGGCCACACUGGGACUGAGAUACGGCCCGGACUCCUACGGGAGGCAGCAGUCGAGAAGCUUCCGCAAUGGGGGAAACCCUGACGGAGCGACGCCGCGUGAGUGAAGAAGGCCCUAUGGGUUGUAAAGCUCUGUCAGAUUGGGAAGAAAACUCCACGGGUAAUAUCCGUGGAGCUUGACGGUACCAUCAGAGGAAGCACCGGCUAACUCCGUGCCAGCAGCCGCGGUAAUACGGAGGGUGCAAGCGUUGUUCGGAUUCACUGGGUAUAAAGGGUGCGCAGGCGGCCCAAUAAGUCAGAGGUGAAAUAUGACGGCUCAACCGUCAAACGGCCCCUGAAACUGUUGGGCUUGAGUUCGAGAGAGGUAGGUGGAAUUCCAGGUGUAGCGGUGAAAUGCGUAAAUAUCUGGAGGAACACCGGUGGCGAAGGCGGCCUACUGGCUCGAUACUGACGCUCAGGCACGAAAGCAUGGGGAGCGAACGGGAUUAGAUACCCCGGUAGUCCAUGCCGUAAACGAUGGGUACUAGGUGUUGGGGGAGUCUACCCCCUCAGUGCCGCAGCUAACGCAUUAAGUACCCCACCUGGGGAGUACGAUCGCAAGGUUGAAGCUCAAAGGAAUUGACGGGGGCCCGCACAAGCGGUGGAGCAUGUGGUUUAAUUCGAUGCAACGCGAAGAACCUUACCUGGGCUUGACAUGCAGGGGACAGGUGUAGAAAUACAUCCUUCUUCGGACUCCUGUACAGGUGCUGCAUGGCUGUCGUCAGCUCGUGUCGUGAAAUGUUGGGUUAAGUCCCGCAACGAGCGCAACCCUUGUCUUUAGUUGCCAUCAGGUAAUGCUGGGGACUCUAGAGAGACUGCCGGUGACAAACCGGAGGAAGGUGGGGACGACGUCAAGUCAUCAUGGCCCUUACGCCCAGGGCUACACACGUGCUACAAUGGUCGGUACAAUGGGCUGCAAUACAGUGAUGUGGAGCGAAUCCCAAAAAGCCGGCCUCAGUUCGGAUCGUAGUCUGCAACUCGACUACGUGAAGUUGGAAUCGCUAGUAAUCGCGUAUCAGAACGACGCGGUGAAUACGUUCCCGGGCCUUGUACACACCGCCCGUCAAGUCAACCGAGUUGGUUGCACCCCAAGUCGCUGAGCUAACCCGUAAGGGAGGCAAGUGCCCAAGGUGUGAUUGGCGAGGGGGACUAAGUCGUAACAAGGUA
rnacentral:rRNA from 1 species